rnacentral:rRNA from 1 species
AUUGAACGCUGGUGGCAUGCUUUACACAUGCAAGUCGAACGGCAGCGCGGGCUUCGGCCUGGCGGCGAGUGGCGAACGGGUGAGUAAUACAUCGGAACGCGCCCAGUAGUGGGGGAUAGCUCGGCGAAAGCCGGAUUAAUACCGCAUACGACCUGAGGGUGAAAGCGGGGGAUCUUCGGACCUCGCGCUAUUGGAGCGGCCGAUGGCAGAUUAGCUAGUUGGUGGGGUAAAGGCCUACCAAGGCGACGAUCUGUAGCUGGUCUGAGAGGACGACCAGCCACACUGGGACUGAGACACGGCCCAGACUCCUACGGGAGGCAGCAGUGGGGAAUUUUGGACAAUGGGCGAAAGCCUGAUCCAGCAAUGCCGCGUGUGUGAUGAAGGCCUUCGGGUUGUAAAGCACUUUUGGCGGGAACGAAAAGGACUGUGCCAAUACCACGGUUCGAUGACGGUAUCCGCAGAAUAAACACCGGCUAACUACGU